AAACUGUGAGAGACACCAUGUCAAGGAAGCAGUGUGAGCUAGCGUCUAAGGAUUGUGAAAACUGAGCAAGUGCCCAGAACUAGAAACUUCCCAGCCCCCUGAACUCAGCCUCAGGGUAAGCGAGUUUAAUAGUGCUUCCUUUGAUUUUCAAAUCUGUGGAAGGUUUGUUUCAGUUUUUCCCAGACAAAUAUUGUUGGGAUAGUGUUUCUUUUCAAAAAUGGAUAGGAUUCAAUGCUCAUCAGUGGGAAGAUAGUGACUCCUGACCAUUUUCCUCCUAGCUGGAAACUACAGAAGACUCCCAAGUAUCAGGAAAUUUGGAGAAUUUGUACAGGAAUUAUAUUCAGAGAUAGCAAUUUAUUUACUCAUCAAAGAGAGCUAUUGGAUAGCCACCAUAAAGACCACUCAUUAAAAAACAAAAUUGCAUGAUAUUCUUAACAUUGUCUUUCACUUUUUUUAACCAGGCUUGGUGGAGUUUCAAGAUGCUGAUGAACUUAAGGUCUGGCGCUUGAAAGAAUCAGUGAAGCUUUUCAAGUAGAGGAGUACUCUACUUUGAAGAAAGGAAUGGAACAGAAGGUGUCUGCAUAACUAAAUGGGGAUCUAGAGAAAGUGGAGACUGCCUCUGGAGCAGGGAGGAUUAUGCCACCAUGACUAGAAGGCCCCCUAAUGGAGUUUAUCUGCACUGCAAGGGGCCAGUUGUCUCAGAAUCAUCCUCCGUUGACAUCUCCAUCUCCAGGACAGCUCCACACUAAUCUGUUUCAAAGACAAAAUCCAGUCUAAUCAGUUUGAUGUAUGUUUCUGGGAAUAGAGCCGAAUGUUGUAGCUGAUGGAAUGGAGUCUCAUACCAUUGAUUUUGCAGCUGGACAAGUGCCCUGCCAUGUUACUGCCACUCUUUAAGGCAGAAUAGAGCACAUUGUAUCAUUUAUAGGCCUCUCACAGUGAGAAAUAUGUGGAACUUUGGAAAUCAGAAUCUAAAACUGCAGUCCAAUGGGGUAGCCACUAUUCACAUGUGCUAUUGAGUACCUAAAAUGUGGCUAGACCAAGUUGACAUGUGCUGAAGGGUGAAAAACACCAGGAGUGAAGAAUUAACUUGAAAAAAAUGUAAACUAUCUCAAUUUUAUAUUGAUUACAAAUUAAAUGAUGUUUUGAAUAUAUUGAGUUAAAUGAAAUACAUUUUUUAAUGAUACAUGAUGCGUAUUAUAUUUCUGUUGGACAGUACUGGUCUAAAACAGUUGAUUCACUAUCCAGUAGAGAGAAAGGUAUUGCUGUUUUACCAUAUGUGACCUUCAGGGAAAAGAAGAAUAAAAUUAGCACUUGAAAAUGGAAAAACUUACAGAUAAGCAGCUAUUAUUUGAAGGGCAGAAGGUGCAGGGGUACUCAGCACUACUUAGAAGAUUUGACAUAAAUUCUAUACUCAAGUUGCUAGUACUUCUGGAGAUUUUAAAU
rnacentral:lncRNA from 10 species